AUUGAACGCUGGCGGCAUGCCUUACACAUGCAAGUCGAACGGUAACGGGCCUUCGGGUGCCGCCGAGUGGCGGACGGGUGCGUAAUACAUCGGAACGUGCCCGAUCGUGGGGGAUAACGAGGCGAAAGCUUUGCUAAUACAGCAUACGAUCUACGGAUGAAAGCAGGGGACCGCAAGGCCUCGCGCGGACGGAGCGGCCGAUGGCAGAUUAGGUAGUUGGUGGGAUAAAAGCUUACCAAGCCGACGAUCUGUAGCUGGUCUGAGAGGAUGAUCAGCCACACUGGGACUGAGACACGGCCCAGACUCCUACGGGAGGCAGCAGUGGGGAAUUUUGGACAAUGGGCGCAAGCCUGAUCCAGCCAUGCCGCGUGCAGGAUGAAGGCCUUCGGGUUGUAAACUGCUUUUGUACGGAACGAAAAGCCUUCGUUUAAUACAGGAGGGUCAUGACGGUACCGUAAGAAUAAGCACCGGCUAACUACGUG
rnacentral:rRNA from 1 species